rnacentral:pre_miRNA from 1 species
GAGACACCCUUAUGGGGUAGAACUUGCUUCAGUGGGGCUUUGGUGCUCACGGAGUCUGCCUCUUGAGUGUGUCCCU